rnacentral:ncRNA from 1 species
UCAAUAGAGGUCGCGUUUUUCAAGAGUAUCCUGCCAGAUGUGUUCAGGCGCAGUGGAAAGCAGGAGAAAGGGGAGGACGCCGAAAGGUGCAGUACCUGAACCUGCAUACUUGGGCAUGUAGCUAAGAACUGCAUGACUGUCAUCGUGCUUGCGAUGGAGAGCUAG